AUGUGGAGGUUUUUCAGAGAAUCUGGACCCAGACGCGACAAUAAUUUUGGAUAAGGUUUUUGUUGUUUAUACUGUUCUUUUGUUUCAUCUUCAGUUCCAGAAGACUUGUACACCAUGGAAAUCCACCAUGGUGGUUACUUUGACAAGAUGCCGGAUGGUACCAAAAAGUAUAGGGUGGCUAGGUUUAACAAAGAUGGUGGGAAGAUAUGGCUAGAUGGUUUAGACCCAGAUAAGAUAGCAUGGACAGAGUUUGGGAACAUAGCUUGGGAUCUUGGGUAUAGAGAGAAACCGAUUUCAUACUACUUCAAGAUUCCUCGAACUUCUUGCAAUGAGGGAUGGAUGCCGAUUAAGAAUGAUGCAGAUGCAAUUGAGAUGACCAAGCUCAUUCCUCUA
rnacentral:lncRNA from 1 species